CAAUUUAAAGCUUAUUUAGUAAAGUAUUUCAUUUACAUUGAAAGGAUUAUUGUGCAAAUCAUUAUAAAUUGA
rnacentral:tRNA from 1 species